rnacentral:lncRNA from 1 species
GCCUGAUUUGGAAUUUUCAGGGCCACGAAGAGAUCCCCUUGUUUUCCAAGGACCAGCCAGCAGAGGGAGAGCCCACCAUGCCCCUCACACCAGCUUCCUCCUAGUUCUGGAUGGCCUCUCCCUUUCAGGAAAGGUUGGCUGAGCAGUGGGAGCUGGCAUAUUGUUUGUACCAGAGUUUCCUCUGGUUCACACUGGACGAGAAGUAGGUGCUCCAGGAGUGACCUGUGGACCAACAGCAACACCAGCACUACACAGAGCCUGUUAGAAAUGCAGACUCUUGUUCCUACCCCAGACCUCCUGAGACAGAAUCUGCAUUUUAAGCAGCCCCCCAGGUGAUUCACAUGCAUGGUGAGAUUGGAGGCACACAUCUGCACCUGUGAUUCCCCCACUCUGCACGAUGUCCAUGGAUGUUUCUCUCCCUGUUUUCCACCACCUCUUUCUCUAUUCUCCAUGGCUUUCCGCCUCUAGUUUUCUCUCCCUCUCCCUUUUGGCCCUAGGUCUAGAAUUCCAGGAAGGCAACAUGCUCAGAAGGCACGUCUUCUUCUCUCCACAACUGAAUCCCAAGUUCUAGAGCUGUUGCCCAGCACGGGCUCUUGAUUGUCCCUGUGAUUUUUUUUUUUUUUUUAGCAACUUGCGUACAGCAGGGUGGUGGGCACACACCACACAGCCAGUUAAUUGCAGCUGCAGAGAGACAAUAACAAUGAUCAUGGCUGGAGAUUUUCAUCUCAAAUCUCAAGUCUCAGCAGCGCCUCUCUUUCCAGAACCCAGGCAUCCUUCGGCUGUUGUGCACACACAGAAGUGCAUUUACACAGAACACACCCCCACACAUACCAACCCAGUUGCCUAGGCACACCUAUGUACUACCCUCUUCCUGCCCCAAUUUCCCUCAUCCUCACAGACUCUCAAGGAGAAGGGGUAGGAUGGCAAUCCCUCUCAUUCAUUGACCAAGAGGGGCAGAGGGGACAUCUCAUUGGCCAAGGUCUUGAAACAAGUUUGUCUCAGAAGAACUCAGAUACUCUAACUAUCCUGGGCUGGAACUUUGUGGCUCCAAACGGUGUCCAGCCCAUACUUGGCACUCCCCUGGGUGUUUUUUUUUUUAACGGUUCUGGCCUUUUGGAUAUGGCACAACUGCUGCCACCUGCAAGGCUGCCCUGGUGAUAACUCCCUUGGCCCAGCAUGUGGUGUUCAGGCAGCCACUUUUCCCAAAUUGUUGAAUACUCUGCCCACCUCCUAUAAUGAGAUGCUGAACAGAUUUGAGCUGAAGAGGCAGUUAAACUUCACACAUUGAAUUUGUAAUAAGUCCCACCCGCAAUCAUCUUAAAAGCAUUUGUACCGAUGUAAUUGCUGUCAUUUCAAAACCUUGAAAAGACUUCCUCCCUAUCCUCCCCCUGUACCCCUA